UGAGUAAUGUCUGGGAAACUGCCUGAUGGAGGGGGAUAACUACUGGAAACGGUAGCUAAUACCGCAUAACGUCGCAAGACCAAAGAGGGGGACCUUCGGGCCUCUUGCCAUCGGAUGUGCCCAGAUGGGAUUAGCUAGUAGGUGGGGUAACGGCUCACCUAGGCGACGAUCCCUAGCUGGUCUGAGAGGAUGACCAGCCACACUGGAACUGAGACACGGUCCAGACUCCUACGGGAGGCAGCAGUGGGGAAUAUUGCACAAUGGGCGCAAGCCUGAUGCAGCCAUGCCGCGUGUAUGAAGAAGGCCUUCGGGUUGUAAAGUACUUUCAGCGGGGAGGAAGGGAGUAAAGUUAAUACCUUUGCUCAUUGACGUUACCCGCAGAAGAAGCACCGGCUAACUCCGUGCCAGCAGCCGCGGUA
rnacentral:rRNA from 1 species